rnacentral:rRNA from 1 species
UACGGAGGUGGCAAGCGUUAUCCGGAAUUACUGGGCGUAAAGCGCACGCAGGCGGUCUUUUAAGUUUGACGUGAAAGCUCCCGGCUUAACUGGGAGAGGUCGUUGAAGACUGGAAGACUUGAGGCAAUGAGAGGGGUGUAGAAUUCCCGGUGUAGUGGUGGAAUGCGUAGAUAUCGGGGGGAAUACCAGUGGCGAAAGCGGCACCCUAGCGUUAGCCUGACGCUCAUGUGCGAAAGCGUGGGGAGCGAACGGG